rnacentral:rRNA from 1 species
GAUGAACGCUGGCGGCGUGCCUAAUACAUGCAAGUCGAGCGAACAGAUAAGGAGCUUGCUCCUUUGACGUUAGCGGCGGACGGGUGAGUAACACGUGGGUAACCUAUCUAUAAGACUGGAAUAACUCCGGGAAACCGGGGCUAAUGCCGGAUAACAUGUUGAACCGCAUGGUUCUACAGUGAAAGGCGGCUUUGCUGUCACUUAUAGAUGGACCCGCGCCGUAUUAGCUAGUUGGUGAGGUAACGGCUCACCAAGGCAACGAUACGUAGCCGACCUGAGAGGGUGAUCGGCCACACUGGAGCUGGGACGCGGUCCAGACUCCUACGGGAGGCAGCAGUAGGGAAUCUUCCGCAAUGGGCGAAAGCCUGACGGAGCAACGCCGCGUGAGUGAUGAAGGUCUUCGGAUCGUAAAACUCUGUUAUUAGGGAAGAACAAAUGCGUAAGUAACUGUGCGCGUCUUGACGGUACCUAAUCAGAAAGCCACGGCUAACUACGUG